rnacentral:rRNA from 1 species
AUGGGUGAUAGUAAUACAAGAUACUUGCAAUUGAUUGCCAAUGGGCGACACAUGAAGAAAUGUAUUUACAGUGUCCAGCAAGACGAGGGGCGGAUCGAUGGUCAGGAAGAGAUCAAAAGGUACAUCACGAAAUACUACAAAUCUCUGUUCGGGGCGACGGCUGAAGGAAACAUCACCCUUGACGAGACUCGAAUAGAUGAUAUUCCACAGGUCAUGGCAGAAGAAAAUGAUAUCCUUACGGCACCAUUCUCAGAAAAGGAGGUGAGAGCGGCGGUGUUCCAGAUGGAACACAACAAAGCUCCAAGACCUGAUGGCUUCCCCGCAGAAUUCUAUCAAAAUUUCUGGGUAUCAUCAAGACCGACCUUUUGGAAUUGUUCAAUUGUCUUCAUGCCGACAAACUUGAUCUAUUCAGACUUAACUUUGGUGAGAUUGUCUUGUUGCCGAAGGUUAAGGAGGCCGAACGGAUCCUACAGUUCAGACCAAUAUACCUCCUUAAUGUCAGCUUUAAGAUUUUCACCAAAGUGA